AUUGAACGCUAGCGGCAGGCCUAAUACAUGCAAGCUGAACGGUAAAUGUUAUAGCAAUAUAAUAUGAGAGUAGCGUAAGGGUGCGUAACACGUAUGCAAUCUACCCGCAACAGGCGGAUAGCUCCCCGAAAGGGGAAUUAAUACUCCAUAAGAUCACGAGAGGGCAUCUGACUGUGAUUAAACUCCAAGGGGUUGCGGAUGAGCAUGCGUCUGAUUAGUUAGUUGGUGAGGUAACGGCUCACCAAGACGAUGAUCAGUAGGGGAACUGAGAGGUUGAUCCCCCACACUGGCACUGAGAUACGGGCCAGACUCCUACGGGAGGCAGCAGUAGGGAAUAUUGGUCAAUGGGUGAAAGCCUGAACCAGCCAUGCCGCGUGCAGGAAGAAAGCCUUCUGGGUUGUAAACUGCUUUUAUCUGGGGAUAAAAUACCCGUGCGCGGGGAAUUGAAGGUACCAGAUGAAUAAGCCACGGCUAACUACGUGCCAGCAGCCGCAGUAA
rnacentral:rRNA from 1 species